GGAAGCCAUCCUUGAACCAGUGCACGGACAGGGCGCUCGAGCCGACCGCCAUGCAGGCCACCAUCAGUUCCUCGCCAACACGGGUGCCUUAGAUGUCAGUCAAUGAAGUUUCAUUGUCAUGUCAAUGCCAAAAUCGCAGCUUGCUGCCAACCUUUUCCUGCCAUCAUCAUUGCAAUGCUGUUGUCAUAUGGCAGUUGUCAUCACUGCCAUCAUCGUCAUGUUUAAUUGUUAUGCCAUUCUCAUGGCUUUGCACAGUAAAUGACUUGAAGAUGCCACACGAGUCUAAGAACUCCCGGUCAACGGCAAAGGGACCAAGUUUGCCUCCCUUGAGCGCUUCCUCCAGGACUGACUCGAC
rnacentral:lncRNA from 1 species